UACGUAGGGUGCGAGCGUUGUCCGGAAUUAUUGGGCGUAAAGAGCUCGUAGGCGGUCUGUCGCGUCGAUCGUGAAAACUUGGGGCUUAACCCUGAGCUUGCGGUCGAUACGGGCAUGACUGGAGUUCGGCAGGGGAGACUGGAAUUCCUGGUGUAGCGGUGAAAUGCGCAGAUAUCAGGAGGAACACCGGUGGCGAAGGCGGGUCUCUGGGCCGAUACUGACGCUGAGGCGCGAAAGCGUGGGGAGCGAACAGG
rnacentral:rRNA from 1 species